rnacentral:snRNA from 1 species
GCCGGAGGUAGGGUCCAG